CUAUAUAAGCCCCUCUGUUAACUUUUGUUCAAGCCUGUCUAGAUCUUUUAUCAGUCUAGAAAGAUGUUGGAGAAAAGACAUCAUCCUCUUCUAUAAUCUCCAUCUGUAAUUGGACUAACAACUGGACCAGUCAAUGCAGGCAACUUACUCUCCAUUCGACCUUGCAGGUCACACCAUGGUCUCAAGAGGGAAAAUGAGUGCUCUAUGGAUUGAACAGAAAAAGGUGAAUCAAAACUCCAACAUCUGUAUGAGGGUCUGGAUGGAUAAAGGAUGCCCACUGGAGCUGGAAAUGAUGGAUCAGGUGGAUCCACACUUGAACCAUCUGUAUGAUGAUCUGCACCCACUGGAUCUGUAAAUGGUGGUGCAGAAAGACACAGCACAUCAUUAUAUCGUUGGCUCCGCCCACUGGUGUUCAGUCUAAAGUAGUAGUUGUUGACAAUCAUAAAGUUGUAAUAACAGUAAGAUUGUGAUGUCAGACAAACAUUGUGCUGUUGCUGGCUGUGGGAAAUUAGUGUCUUUGUAAGGGUCGCAAAUAAUUUGAAAAUAUUUAUGUUUCUAAAUAUGCCCCCCUACCAUGAACUAAACUGGACUGUUGCAGAGACCAAGUGUAGUAGGGUACACUACUAUGCAGAAUUCUGGCCUGGUGUUUGGUCCCCCCUUUCUCUGGCUUGUGUCUCCAUCAUCAUUACACUCUUGUCAGUGUAAUAGUAUCGUCGUCUGCAUACCAGGACUUUGUUACUCAGCUGUCCCUUCUCCUUCAAGCUAC